UUUGGGUUGGCAGAUGAGUGUAAUCGAUUUAGGAUCGAUGGAUAGGAUUAAGUUAACCUACCCAAAA
rnacentral:tRNA from 1 species